rnacentral:tRNA from 3 species
UGGCGGGUAGCUCAGCGGCAGAGCGCUAAAACAUCCUUGUUCACCCCUUGCCUGCAAAGGCCGACGAAUGAGGGUUAUCGAAUAGGGUUCGAGAGGUCGCAGGUUCGAGUCCUGCUCCGCCACCCA